UCUAUUUUGGCAGAUAAGUGCAGUGGAUUUAGGAUCCACAUAUGUAAAGUUAAGUUUUACAAGUAGGA
rnacentral:tRNA from 1 species